rnacentral:rRNA from 1 species
GAUGAACGCUGGCGGCGUGCCUAAUACAUGCAAGUCGAGCGAACAGACGAGGAGCUUGCUCCUCUGACGUUAGCGGCGGACGGGUGAGUAACACGUGGAUAACCUACCUAUAAUACUUGGAUAACUUCGGGAAACCGGAGCUAAUACCGGAUAAUAUAUUUAACCGCAUGGUUCAAUAGUUAAAGACGGUUUUGCUGUCUCUUAUAGAUGGAUCCGCGCCGCAUUAGCUAGUUGGUAAGGUAACGGCUUACCAAGGCGACGAUGCGUAGCCGACCUGAGAGGGUGAUCGGCCACACUGGAACUGAGACACGGUCCAGAGUCCUACGGGAGGCAGCAGUAGGGAAUAUUCCGCAAUGGGCGAAAGCCUGACGGAGCAAAGCCGCGUGAGUGAUGAAGGUCUUCGGAUCGUAAAACUCUGUUAUUAGGGAAGAACAAAUGUGUAAGUAAAUAUGCACGUCUUGACGGUACCUAAUCAGAAAGCCACGGCUAACUACGUG